rnacentral:rRNA from 1 species
GACGAACGCUGGCGGCGUGCCUAAUACAUGCAAGUCGAGCGGACGAAUCGAAAGCUUGCUUUUGAUUCGUUAGCGGCGGACGGGUGAGUAACACGUGGGCAACCUGCCCUGUAGACGGGGAUAACACCGAGAAAUCGGUGCUAAUACCGGAUAACACGAAAUGUCGCAUGACGUUUCGUUGAAAGACGGCGCAAGCUGUCGCUACAGGAUGGGCCCGCGGCGCAUUAGCUAGUUGGUGAGGUAACGGCUCACCAAGGCGACGAUGCGUAGCCGACCUGAGAGGGGGAUCGGCCACACUGGGACUGAGACACGGCCCAGACUCCUACGGGAGGCAGCAGUAAGGAAUCUUCCGCAAAGGACGAAAGUCUGACGGAGCAACGCCGCGUGAGCGAAGAAGGCCUUCGGGUCGUAAAGCUCUGUUGUUAGGGAAGAACAAGUAACGCAGUAACUGGCGUUACCGUGACGGUACCUAACGAGAAAGCCGCGGCUAACUACGUG